CCUACGGGAGGCUGCAGUGGGGAAUAUUGGACAAUGGGGGCAACCCUGAUCCAGCCAUGCCGCGUGUGUGAAGAAGGCCCUCGGGUUGUAAAGCACUUUCAGUGAGGAAGAACGCCUGGUGGUUAAUACCCAUCAGGAAAGACAUCACUCACAGAAGAAGCACCGGCUAACUCCGUGCCAGCAGCCGCGGUAAUACGGAGGGUGCGAGCGUUAAUCGGAAUUACUGGGCGUAAAGCGCGCGUAGGUGGCUUGAUAAGCCGGUUGUGAAAGCCCCGGGCUCAACCUGGGAACGGCAUCCGGAACUGUCAAGCUAGAGUGCCGGAGAGGAAGGUAGAAUUGCCGGUGUAGCGGUGAAAUGCGUAGAGAUCGGGAGGAAUAACAGUGGCGAAGGCGGCCUUCUGGACUGACACUGACACUGAGGUGCGAAAGCGUGGGUAGCAAACAGGAUUAGAUACCCCGGUAGUC
rnacentral:rRNA from 1 species